rnacentral:rRNA from 1 species
GUAGGUGGCAAGCGUUGUCCGGAAUUAUUGGGCGUAAAGCGCGCGCAGGCGGUCCUUUAAGUCUGAUGUGAAACGCCCACGGCUCAACCGUGGAGGGUCAUUGGAAACUGGGGGACUUGAGUACAGAAGAGGAAAGCGGAAUUCCAAGUGUAGCGGUGAAAUGCGUAGAGAUUUGGAGGAACACCAGUGGCGAAGGCGGCUUUCUGGUCUGUAACUGACGCUGAGGCGCGAAAGCGUGGGGAGCAAACAGGAUUAGAUACCCUGGUAGUCCACGCCGUAAACGAUGAGUGCUAAGUGUUAGGGGGUUUUCCCGCCCCCCUUAGUGCUGCAGCUAACGCAUUAAGCACUCCGCCUGGGGGAGUACGGCCCGCAAGGCUG